rnacentral:lncRNA from 1 species
CUAAUUACUUCGCUAUAACUUCAUUUCUCACUGCUGUGAUCUACGUCCUGGUUUAUCCCAUCCAUCCCCAGCGGCAGGCGUGUGUUUUAUUUCCAUGGCUUUUCUUUGCAGAGCAAACAGGUAACAUUUGGCUUUUCAACAUAUGAUUGCAGAUGGUGACUUCAGGAGUAAGAACUAGGCUUUCACCUUAAAUCAAGGAGCUUGCUGAAAGAAGAUCCCAAGAGUGACUCUUCACAGGUACCAGACCUGGGAGACACCUCAGAAUGUUCCAGAGCCUUAGGCCAGCACUGGGGAGCCUCCACACGGGAGGCCAAGCUGCUGCCCUGCCCAAGAGAAGAGUUGCAAGCAGGAGAGGGAAGAAGCAGCCACGGCGGUGACAGAAGUGACCAGAACUCUAGGCCAGGCUUCUGGAACCCGCAGCUCCAUCCAAGGCACCCCGUAAAGCGAGUCCUCGCUCCUCCUGCUCACUGCAUCUCUUGGAAACCCUUCUUGUUCCGCGAGGGGAAAAAAAGAGCUGCCAGCCUCCCUCAUCCACCACGGCUGCCUGAAUUUGCGGAAUCCUUGGACAGCUCUCUCCUCUUCUCUGGCAGCCGUGGGCUUCCCGGGGAAGGGAUAAACCACACACCUGCUCCGGUCACCCCUACAUGUGACCCUCUUCACGGUUUCCCAUGGCUCUCAGGGUCCGUUCUGAGCUGCCUGCCUCCCCACCUGCGCUGUUUCCUCACACACACGAGACGGUCGGUCUUUGGGCCCCUGUCACUCUGCUCGGUCACCAGACGACCUUCCCACACGUUCCUCUCUGCACCAACCAGGCUGAGGCUUCCUCUUCUGGGUCUUAGGCAACGUGUUACUUUUUCCCCAAAGUUGCCCUCAAGCCUGUGAGUCUGGGUUCCGUACUUCUCUGUGCUUCCCCUUUCUAAUCGCACAGCAUGCGGGGUUGGUUGUCUGCUUCCUUCUAGAAUGGCAGUUCCAUGGGGGCAGGGCCCUUUCGGUCUGACUCACAUCCCCAGGGCCAAAGUACAGCGCCUGGCACGCCAUGGGGCUCGGUUUAGACUAGCCAAACGGAUGAAGGAGGACUCGAGCCCUUGCCUGUCCCCUGACAGCCGGGUCUGCAGAAGCCAGCCCCUUCCCUCCUUCCUCCCCUUUCUCCCCAGUCCACACACUCCCUCUCAUCAUCCCCUGCGUCUCUGGAAACGUGGCCCGCGAAGGCCGUAGCAUGAGUGAGACAGAGGUCGCCCCAGGUCCUGGCUCGGCCACUUACUAGGCAAGCCUGUCGCUUGUUUUAUUCACAAAGUGGAGCUAAGAGGCACCCGGCUCGCAGGGUCACUUGGCAGAGUCGCUUGGGCACCUAACACAUGGCAGACAGGAGACCAGACUUCUUCCUCCCUGUCUCCCCAGCGCUCUCUCCCAAGCCCCCGUUUGAGACCGGGGACGCUGACACACUGCCUGCAUUCUCAGAGGUGCCGCUGUUUUCCCAAGUCCCUUCUCUCCCCUCGGUCCCCCGGGCCACUUGCUGCUGGCCCCUCCUCCUUCCCUGUGCUUUAUCCCCACCCCCUAACACGCAAAUACUAGUGCCAGGGCCAGAGCAGAAGAGAUGCUGAAAAGGCCCUUGUUGGACAGAUGAGUGCUUGAACGAGCCAGGCCCAGCAGCCUCCCCGGGGCUGUGUUCGCCAGCGUGGACUGUGUCACAGUGGUCACCAGCCUGCUCACGGACAGGCGACCUCCUGCCCUCCGGAGCCCAGGCCCACACGGGCUGGGACUAUGUGACGGCAUCCUCACAAGGCCGAGGCAAGGAACAGGAAAGGUGACAGCGGACUUUCCUGAAGACUGACGAAGAGGAAGGGCGAUGUCCCCAUUCCUCUCUUCCGCUCAGCGCUGUGAC